rnacentral:rRNA from 1 species
UACGGAGGGUGCGAGCGUUGUCCGGAAUCACUGGGCGUAAAGAGCUCGUAGGCGGUUUGUCGCGUCUGCUGUGAAAACUGGAGGCUCAACCUCCAGCCUGCAGUGGGUACGGGCAGACUAGAGUGCGGUAGGGGAGAUUGGAAUUCCUGGUGUAGCGGUGGAAUGCGCAGAUAUCGAGGAGGACACCGAUGGCGAAGGCAGAUCUCUGGGCCGUAACUGACGCUGAGGAGCGAAAGCAUGGGGAGCGAACAGG